rnacentral:rRNA from 2 species
GGUAACGGCUCACCAUGGCAAUGAUACGUAGCCGACCUGAGAGGGUAAUCGGCCACAUUGGGACUGAGACACGGCCCAAACUCCUACGGGAGGCAGCAGUAGGGAAUCUUCCACAAUGGACGAAAGUCUGAUGGAGCAACGCCGCGUGAGUGAAGAAGGGUUUCGGCUCGUAAAACUCUGUUGUUAAAGAAGAACAUAUCUGAGAGUAACUGUUCAGGUAUUGACGGUAUUUAACCAGAAAGCCACGGCUAACUACGUGCCAGCAGCCGCGGUAAUACGUAGGUGGCAAGCGUUGUCCGGAUUUAUUGGGCGUAAAGCGAGCGCAGGCGGUUUUUUAAGUCUGAUGUGAAAGCCUUCGGCUCAACCGAAGAAGUGCAUCGGAAACUGGGAAACUUGAGUGCAGAAGAGGACAGUGGAACUCCAUGUGUAGCGGUGAAAUGCGUAGAUAUAUGGAAGAACACCAGUGGCGAAGGCGGCUGUCUGGUCUGUAACUGACGCUGAGGCUCGAAAGUAUGGGUAGCAAACAGGAUUAGAUACCCUGGUAGUCCAUACCGUAAACGAUGAAUGCUAAGUGUUGGAGGGUUUCCGCCCUUCAGUGCUGCAGCUAACGCAUUAAGCAUUCCGCCUGGGGAGUACGGCCGCAAGGCUG